GGCGGCAGCAGGGGCGCCUCUGGAGGCCGCAGUCCAGGUCCUGGCUUCGGCCCCAGCCCCACCAUGGUGACCCUUACUGACCUGCUGGUGCUCCUGGCCACGCUCCUGGCCAUGGUCUCAGGCUACUUUAUUAGCAUCAACCCACAUGCCGAGGAGUGCUGCUUUGAGCGGGUCACCUCGGGUACCAAGAUGGGCCUCAUCUCUGAGGUGGCGGAGGGCAGCUUCCUGGACAUCAAUGUGGAGAUAAUAGGACCAGAUAAUAAAGGGAUUUACAUAGGAGACGGAGAAUCCAGUGCGAAAUACACAUUUGCUGCUCACAUGGAUUCCAAAGUUUGUUUUAGUAACCGGAUGUCUACCAUGACUUCAAAAAUAGUGAUGUUCACCAUUGAUACUGGGGAGGCUCCAAAAGGACAAGACAUGGAAAAAGAAGCCCACCAGAACAACUUAGAAGAAAUGAUCAGUGAGCUAGCAGUGGCGAUGACAGCUGGAAAGCACAAACAGGAAUACAUGGAAAUCGGGAGAGGAUACAUGGAGCCAUCAACAACAACACAAACAGCAGAGUGGUUCUUUGGUCCUUCUUUGAAGCUCUUGUUCUAGUUGCCAUGACAUUGGGACAGAUCUACUACCUGAAAAGCUUUUUUGAAGUCCAGAGGCUUAUUUAAGAAGCCUC